rnacentral:rRNA from 1 species
GGGUAACCUGCCCAUCAGAAGGGGAUAACACUUGGAAACAGGUGCUAAUACCGUAUAACAAUCAAAACCGCAUGGUUUUGAUUUGAAAGGCGCUUUCGGGUGUCGCUGAUGGAUGGACCCGCGGUGCAUUAGCUAGUUGGUGAGGUAACGGCUCACCAAGGCCACGAUGCAUAGCCGACCUGAGAGGGUGAUCGGCCACAUUGGGACUGAGACACGGCCCAAACUCCUACGGGAGGCAGCAGUAGGGAAUCUUCGGCAAUGGACGAAAGUCUGACCGAGCAACGCCGCGUGAGUGAAGAAGGUUUUCGGAUCGUAAAACUCUGUUGUUAGAGAAGAACAAGGAUGAGAGUAACUGUUCAUCCCUUGACGGUAUCUAACCAGAAAGCCACGGCUAACUACGUGCCAGCAGCCGCGGUAAUACGUAGGUGGCAAGCGUUGUCCGGAUUUAUUGGGCGUAAAGCGAGCGCAGGCGGUUUCUUAAGUCUGAUGUGAAAGCCCCCGGCUCAACCGGGGAGGGUCAUUGGAAACUGGGAGACUUGAGUGCAGAAGAGGAGAGUGGAAUUCCAUGUGUAGCGGUGAAAUGCGUAGAUAUAUGGAGGAACACCAGUGGCGAAGGCGGCUCUCUGGUCUGUAACUGACGCUGAGGCUCGAAAGCGUGGGGAGCAAACAGGAUUAGAUACCCUGGUAGUCCACGCCGUAAACGAUGAGUGCUAAGUGUUGGAGGGUUUCCGCCCUUCAGUGCUGCAGCUAACGCAUUAAGCACUCCGCCUGGGGAGUACGACCGCAAGGUUGAACUCAAAGGAAUUGACGGGGGCCCGCACAAGCGGUGGAGCAUGUGGUU